GGAAUAAGGGCUGGGGCAAGACCGGUGCCAGCCGCCGCGGUAACACCGGCAGCUCUAGUGGUAGCCAUUUUUAUUGGGCCUAAAGCGUUCGUAGCCGGUUUGAUAAGUCUCUGGUGAAAUCCUGUAGCUUAACUGUGGGAAUUGCUGGAGAUACUAUUAGACUUGAGGUCGGGAGAGGUUAGCGGUACUCCCAGGGUAGGGGUGAAAUCCUGUAAUCCUGGGAGGACCACCUGUGGCGAAGGCGGCUAACUGGAACGAACCUGACGGUGAGGGACGAAAGCCAGGGGCGCGAACCGGAUAAGAUACCCGGGUAGUCCUGGCCGUAAACGA
rnacentral:rRNA from 1 species